UACGUAGGCAGCGAGCGUUGUUCGGAAUUACUGGGCGUAAAGAGUGUGUAGGCGGUGCUCCCAGUCUGUUGUGAAAUCUCCCGGCUUAACUGGGAGGGUGCAGCGGAAACUAGAGUGCUAGAGGGUGGGAGAGGUAAGCGGAAUUCCUGGUGUAGCGGUGAAAUGCGUAGAUAUCAGGAGGAACACCAAUAGCGAAGGCAGCUCGCUGGGACGUUACUGACACUGAGGCGCGAAAGCGUGGGGAGCGAACAGG
rnacentral:rRNA from 1 species